rnacentral:tRNA from 1 species
CCUUCGAUAGCUCAGUUGGAAGAGCGUGGGACUGUAAUGGCUAACCUGUCAUCCCGAGGUCACUGGUUCGAUCCCGGUUCGAAGGA